GAUGAACGCUGGCGGCGUGCUUAACACAUGCAAGUCGAACGGAAAGGCCCAAGCUUGCUUGGGUACUCGAGUGGCGAACGGGUGAGUAACACGUGGGUGAUCUGCCCUGCACUUCGGGAUAAGCCUGGGAAACUGGGUCUAAUACCGGAUAGGACGAUGGUUUGGAUGCCAUUGUGGAAAGUUUUUCGGUGUGGGAUGAGCUCGCGGCCUAUCAGCUUGUUGGUGGGGUAAUGGCCUACCAAGGCGUCGACGGGUAGCCGGCCUGAGAGGGUGUACGGCCACAUUGGGACUGAGAUACGGCCCAGACUCCUACGGGGAGGCAGCAGUGGGGGGAAUAUUGCACAAUGGGCGCAAGCCUGAUGCAGCGACGCCGCGUGGGGGAUGACGGCCUUCGGGUUGUAAUCCUUUCGCUAGGGACGAAGCGUAAGUGACGGUACCUGGAGAAGAAGCACCGGCUAACU
rnacentral:rRNA from 1 species